UUUCAUCGAGCAUGCGAGGCGUAAGUGGGCGCGACAUCCCCAGGAAUCGAAUAUCACGGACAGCGUUUAAAUUAUUAUGACGAAUCGGGAUUUGAAAGAGCGAUUCGGCAGGUACGACGAGUCGUUUUGGAGGAUUUGACGUUCGAUACGAGAUACGACCGGUCGUCGAGUUAUCUCCGUUGCUCGAUAAAGAAAGGUUAAAGCUCGAUAGACGAACGAACGCGCACGGUAUUCUUAUCGUGACUGGUCGAUCGCGGAAAAGAAUACACCGGGUACGAAACCGCGUGGGAGGAAGUUUUGACCGUCUACCAGCGAAACUAUUCUCAGGAGGGAGCAGAGAACGAUAUAAACGGUUUGCCUGGAGCGAGAGUUUUAAAGGAAAGCAAGUAGAAACCCGAUCUACAUUGUUCCCCUUUGAAUCGAAUCUUUCGCGAACGUAAACCGCGCCGCGCGUUUCCUCUCGCUCGCGUAUUUUACCAAGUGGAAUCAUUUUUGAAACUAUCGAAACGAGAUUGGCGCGAUUGUACGCCGAAUUCCAGCGUGUCGUGACUAAUUCGCGUAAACCUUUCCAACUGAUAACGAAGCGAGAAUGUAUGUGCCGGACAGAGAGUAUGGAAACACCGAGGUGUUCCUCGGUGUUGCAAUAUUCAUCGCUGUCUUCCAUUUUCGGGACAGAAGCUGCGUCACCGAUAACGAGCAUUGUGCGAGAGGACAGGAAUCGAAAGCGACCUAGUCGUCGGGUCGGGGUGAUGCGACAACUUUCUCGAUUGUCGUAUACGGUAGGUUGGUUCGGUCGCGAAUUCAAUACGGCCGGAGUAACGAUAACGCGCGCGUACGAUAACUCGACAAGGUCGACGGCGGUUCAAUUCGAACAGUGCCGUUUGCCAGAUGCGAUCGCCUCGUACUCGUAGCUCGUACAAUUUCGUUGGGAGAGAUUAGACGAAAGAGACAAGGAGGGAAGAAGAGGAGGAUGGAACGUGGAGUUUCAUACGACUCGCAAGCGCGCCACCUCGACUCGCGUUAAUUGAUUAGUCGGCUUCGAACUUGCGAUUAACCAGUCGACCUUCCAUUGUCGGAUUUUCGAUGCAUGAAAUUUAUUAACACGGAUCUCGUCUGGUUCGAGGCGAACGUAAUAUUCCGUAGACGCGACACGUCCACGUUCAACGUUCGCGAACGAACAUUUGAAAAGAGGCGAUCACGGAACGCCGGCUGGCCGGAUCCCGCGCGAUACUUUCGCAAUACCUGGCUGUCGUUUCCCUCUCUUUUUCCAGCCGCCAUCCUUUCAAUCAUCCUCCGAGCUGUCUUCCAGCCGUCUUUCCCUCUUUGUCAUUCCGGCUUUAUCGGCUGACACUCACCGGGUCCGAUAUCAAGCUCGUCGUCCGUCCCUCUGUCCUCCUCCGUUUAUCUCGAUCUCUCGGCCGUAUUCUCGUUCGCCAGCCUCCCUCUCGCACCCUCUGAUUUAGGUCGCAGCCAGCCCGCUAACUGAUUGAGGGUGAUUGACGCUCUGGCUGAAUACCGGACAAGCCCAAAACCCAUUAUUUACUGCUCGGGCCUCGUACAACGUUAUAAUUGCCGGCAGCUAUUCCGCCCUGCGCGCUCCCUCUUCCUCUCGAUUCGAUUUACCCCGCCCCAACCGGCCAAUCCAACGAGUUGGCUUAUCGUCCGGUACCUGCUAACUCGAACCCACCAUGGAAUUCUUGUUGCGAUCGCCCGAACCUGCGUCCUAAUUAAGCACACUACCCACGAAUUUCAUUGGUUUAGUGUUCCCCUAACGUGCGGAAAUAUCGAAAGCACGGCGUAUCAGCGCUAUCGCUGAAAUUCCUUCUCCGACAUACCAGUGUCUCUUUGUGCCGUGCCGUUUAGCUUGAAAACCGUCGUCGCAACCGGCCGCGGAGGAUGACGAGCUUUACGAACCGAAGCGAAUGCAAUUUGAACAGCAGGAAUCGCGUUUUCCUUGUGCCAGCAUUCUCCGUCUAGAACCAGCUACGAAUAAUAGCCAGAUCUCGCGAUGCCGCUUCUCACGACCGCGUGCCAAUCAACCGCUUCUGGGUAUUAUCUUUUUAUUUUCUAGAUCGUCGAUGGAUAAAUCAAACUUUGGAUUUCCAUCGGCUUGGUUUUAUCGGAACAGCCGGAGAAGGCAGGCGAGAAAGGAGAGACAGAAACGGUAACGCGGCCGAAGGAAAGUGGGCUCGAACGAAGUACGUCACGUCCGGCAUACAGUUUACCUUGAGAAGGAUCGAUCUCGAAGGAGUUAAGUGGCUGCCGGUUCUUCCAAGAAGUAUACCCAUCGACUCCAGAGUAGGAAUCACGUUCAUGGCCGACCGUGCUCCAUCGCGGCCUCUGUCAUCUUAAUCCCCGGGAUCCUUUUUACACGGCUUUCUCAUUCGCGUCCUCUGUGUACCCGCCACCUUGUGGACUUUGCUGCCCAGACCAAGACCCGGGACCACCUUCUCUCUUAUCCGCUUGAAUUACGGCGAGGCACGUCCGCCCCUAGUGGAUGUCCUGCUUCAGGCUGGACCUCGUCCAGCUUUCACGGAAAAGGAACCUCCGUCGUCAAAUGGCCGAACCGUAUUAAAACGAAUCUGACCUACGUGAUGUUGGAUCUUAUUCCAACGUUAGGAAAUCAUCACAGCUUCCUGCCGGAUCGCUUUCGCAACUUUUAUCGAAUACCGCAGGAUCGUCGAACGCGUCGCGUUGUCGUUCUCUUCGCUUACUAGAAAUCUUCCUCCAACUCGAUACGUUUCGCGCAAUCUGCUGUCGGACAGACGUCGCAUCUUCGCCGUUCGCUCUUAUACGACGAGAACGCUUCGCUGCAUCGGACAUCGUCGCUAUAAUCGUAUCUAUAUAGCGUUCAUCGACGAGGCGUCACGUAUGACAAAGAUGGUGUCGCAAUCAGGUAGAAUCGAUCGGUCAGUCGAUAAAAGCUCGAAGGAUAGAUAUUGUCCGUGAAGAUGGCAGGCUGGCGGUGAUCUUCGAGUAGACAAUAAAUGGUCAAGCGCUUUAGACACGUUUCCGUGAGCACGAACUAUGGGGCCUUCCGAUUGUACAGGCCAGCAAGGUUUCUCUUUAUUCUUCGACCAAGGGGAAGGUCGAUCGGCCCGAUGCCGAUCAACGAACAAAGCGUUUCUCCGUCGACUAAGCUCUUCCUUCUCCUUUUCUUCGUCGACAAGCGUAUUCGUUGCUCCUUUUCCUUCUCUCCUUCGACAAGUAUUCCUUCAGAAAUACUCUCGCCGCGAACGUUUUCCAACGGACGGUACGCGCUAAGUAAAUUGCAUUUACGAAAUUUUCUCGAAAGUAUUUCGAUUCGAACAAAAUUCAUGUUCGAAAGAGGUUUCGAGAAUUAUGUACGUGUUUCGGGAUGCGUCGACUCGAACUACUUUAUCGAGCGAAGCGUUCGUUUCGGGAAUGUCUUCUGCCUGAUUUCCAUACCUUCUGUUUGCUCGUUUACUCGUCGGGGUAGACAAGGGCCACGGGAGCGUGCGCAAGUUCUACGACAUUUCUUUAAAAUUCGUCGAGUGAGAAGCGUUGAUUAAGCGACAUUCGUUUUUCUCCUUUUUGUCUGUCUUCCUUUGCGUCUCUUUUCCCUUGGUUCCGGGCUUGUUAAGGUGCGACCUGUGUAUUCGCUACGAGGUAACGUCUCUCAAAGGACUCCUUGGACUUGGCCGGUUCUUCACGAUAACGAAAUCGUUGUCGAAGUCUCUGAGAUCCUACGUCUUCUAGAAUCACCGAACAAACCUAAUUCUUUCUCCUCUCUUCUCUCAACCUCUUCGAAUCUACAGUUUCCUCAACGAGGACUAUACCAGUACGAAAUUUCGACAAAGUUUGGUCAAAACGUUCGCCGAGUUCUAAAGCAAGUAAUUUCAUAAUUGCCUAUUCCCUUCGUACCUGUUCGUACGUCGUAAUUCUCGCUUAGAUCGUCAAAACGUACGCGACAUUCGCGAUAUCUUGGAUUCGUUCGCUCGUAGAACACAAUUAUUACGGUACUUUGGUAUUCUUCUCGCAGUUUCUUUCUUACAGCUUCCUAGAUACAUCUUAUCUCCCAGGCCUGAAACUAGCUUGAAACUCGAGUGCCGGUUGGGAGAGAUAGCAGCGAAUUGUUUGGUCCCCCGAGUGAACUAGGAUGUGUAUAACGGUGGUUAGAAGUUGCCAGGAUGCUUCCAAAACGUCGAGGCGGGGGAAAGCAGCAAUUUCUGCUUCGACGUACCACGAAGAGAGCGGCUCGAAGUUGCGACUCGAAUUGAAUGACCGAUCCGGGACGUCGAGCAACUAGCUAGAAGUAGAAACGAAGAAGAAGCGAACGAGACAUCCGUGAUCCGUUGGACGAGAACGAUCCGAGCUCUGGAGCCAGGGAAAACCUUAUUAUGCGUUUCCCCGGAACUCCCCGCUUUGCACGGAUCUUGUAAAGUGGCGAGGGUCGCGUCAACCGAAUAACCAGACCAUAAACCACCAGAGGCCAAGGCAGAAGGACGGGUCGAGCGGCAGGCCGACUGCUAGAACCCGUUUACGUCACCCGUAAACCGGCAUCCUGUGGAUUUCGACGAGCAAAUACACUCGUGGCUAUGGUGCCUCGUAAACUCAGUCAAGACGUGAGCUGACGCACCGCUUUCCUGACGUUUCUCCAAAGGUGAAUGCUCCUUACUUCUCCUUCCUUUCUCCCUUUCCUUCUCCCUUUACUUUUAUCCUUCUCGUUGCUGACAGCAGCCGUUUUUUCAAUAACAUCGAUGUACAAACCUGGUCGACUCCUUUCGCCUUGCUUUCGCGUCGCAUGUUUCUCAACAAGCAAAAUUUUAGUUAACGAGAAACAAGUUGAUUCAGUUGGAACGUUUCUACAUGAACGUCCUACGAAUAGAGCGAGGCAAACUAUAGACUAUCAUUUCGCGCGGUAGAACACGAGCUACGGCCAGCUAAUGACAGUUAUUACCGAUAUGACAGUGAUGUAGUAAUGAAACCGCGAUUGACGAAUCUAAUUGUAGUAAUGCGUUUCAUAUUUUAUCGAGUGCAUGCGGUAUCGCGUAUGAAAUUUUGAUUUCCAAUAGUUGCCAGUGCAAUUCCACGUUGUCGACGUUUCAUUUUAUGCGAAACCAGGGUAUAUCGUAUAUCAUUGAAACCUACCAGAGGGCAAGGUUAAACGAGUGUAAGUAAUGCAACACGUUCGAUUCGUACGAUUUAUCGAUAAAUUGAUAAAUUAUUCAUUCAGUUGCGUCAUUACGUGUGUACGUGUAUACACCGUUCCGAUUUCCCGAAAUACUCUUUUCGAUAAUGUCUCGCGUAAAACGAAUUGUCUAGAAGGAUCUUCAUGUUUCAAAAGCGUAUCUUUUUCCGCGAACCUUCUUCUAUUUUCGAGGAAUGUCCUAACUUUUCGUAGAAUUGUUCGUAAGUGACGUCCGUAACAGUACACUAAAUAAAUUAACCUAUAAGCUAGCUAGCUAAUAUAGAAGUAGCUAUUUGAGGAAAUUAUCCGGGUUUCGUUUCCGUUGGGUCGUUUCUCAGCUUCUCGUUAUUGAUUUUACAUGGAAAAUGGUACUACCCAUGCGAAACAGUUGGAAUUUCUGUGAACUCUUUCACCGACGAAAAUAACUCGAAAAAAGGCAGAGGAAAAGGAGCGGUAAGAGUCGAGAGAGGCGGAUGGUGCUCGUUAUUUCGUCCUUGCGAAGAAUCUGCGAAGAACUCGAGCGACACGCGAAGUUGGUUAGCUCCGGUCCCGUUGUUAUCAGCGAAAAUUUUCUCCGGCGUGGCAUGCUCGUCCCCGUUAUGUUUCCCGACCUAAAGUCACGGUGUAUCGCGUCGCAAACGACGAACGAGAAGACAACCAGUUCAGUUGAAAUUUACAGCGGAGAAAGUGAUACGAAUUUCCAAGCACGGCCGGCCAGUUAAGUGCUUCAAAGCGGCUGCUAAUUAUCGCUGUAACGACACGGAUUGUAUCGCUAUCGCGGAUUCAAUUCGACACCGUCGCCACGCUCUUCUGGUAAAUUGAUACGAUCUUCCUUCAUCGAUCGGGAACUUCGAUGUUUGCGCUCUCCACCGAUGAUUACAUAAUAUAGAGUUCUGCCGAGCCACGAGGAUCAAAGUUCGUUCUUACUUCUUCCUCUAUCGACGUGAUUAAGUGAAAAUACUCGUGGCUCGUGCCAAGUAACUGUGGAAUAGCGGCACGCCUUAUCUCACGGUAUACCCUUUUUAAUUGCAAUUACUUAACAAGCCAGGGGUAAUUUAAGAAUGUGUCGUAAAGCGAGAUCGCAAUGCGCCUCGAAGAUUUGUUGUUGAUUGUAUUUAACGUUACAGUGCACGAGUUUGAAUCGGAAGGAAACGAAAAACGCGAGCGCGAUUAACGUCGCAGUCAGUAAAGUUCCUGCGACGUUAUCCUAAGCUCGUUCGUUCUCGAGUUAUUCGAUCCUGGAAUUAAUUGGUAAUUGGUUAAUUGGUUAAAAGGUAGAAGCCGCGACGGGGGACAAGGUUUACGGGAGUUGCGAGAUUCCAUAAAAUCGGGUUGCAGUUUUCAUCGUGGCUGCGUCAUGUAAAGUUCCGGCCGCUUAGGGAAGAACGAAACACAGACGGUAUAUUUACAGUAAUAGUAGCGUGGCACGAGUUACUUCCGGACAGCAGUGGCGAUGUAGUAGCCGGCGGGCAUGGCGAGUAUGGCAGGCAUCGCGAGCACACACACGUUUCGCGUGUAUGGCAGAGUUAAAGGCGGGCCUGCGACUACGAGAGGUGAAAGGGUUGGCAGAAUCGAAAAGGAGUAAAAGAGCUGGAACGGUCGAUUUAGAGGAAACACGCGUCCGGUGUCGCGUGCGGCCGCGGAUAUCUGAUACGAGCGAAACGCGAGCGUAAUUCUCUUCGACGCUGUCGCGUUAUUUAUAAAUCGUCCUGAACUGCCGCCGGUUAUUAUCACCGGCCGUUACAAUUUUUCACUGGCACUCCCUGCUCCAAACGUCCGCUUAACUAAUUACUAUUAAUUUAACGGGCCGGGCGUUCGUGCCCCUCGUAAUUUCCAUGCCGCGACAGCUACUGUUCGUGGAUUUCGAUUCCAGUUUCGAGCCUGGUGGACCCGAGUCCGCUCGGAUACGCGUCACCGACAAAAAACAGGAAAACAGGACAAAAAAAAAAAAAAAGGAAAAUAGAUAAGGCAAAGUGCAUGCUCGUUAAACGCGCGCGAUACGCGGACGAGCUGCUCUUUUGACGCAGCCUCGCCACUUUGUUCGCGCUAACCAGUCAUUACGCUCUCUCUUGCCUGGCUCCGGUUGAGAAAAAUGCGCGACACCGGAUGCAUCCGUCUUCCCUCCUGCCUUCUUCCUCUCAUUCGACCACCAUCGGAUUAUUACACGGCCGUUAAAUCGUUGGUCAA